rnacentral:rRNA from 1 species
AACAAACGCUGGCGGCGUGCCUAAUACAUGCAAGUCGAACGAGGAAAGCCUUCGGGUGAGUACUAGUGGCGCACGGGUGAGUAACACGUGGGUAAUCUUCCUCAGAGCGUGGGAUAACUAGUCGAAAGAUUAGCUAAUACCACAUAAGACCACAGGAUCUGCGGAUCCAGAGGUCAAAGGUUUUUCGCUCUGAGAUGAGCCCGCGCAGGAUUAGCUAGUUGGUGAGGUAAUGGCUCACCAAGGCAACGAUCUUUAGCUGGUCUGAGAGGAUGAUCAGCCACACUGGAACGGAGACACGGUCCAGACUCCUACGGGAGGCAGCAGUAGGGAAUAUUGCACAAUGGAGGAAACUCUGAUGCAGCGACGCCGCGUGAGUGAUGAAGGACUUCGGUUCGUAAAGCUCUGUCGUAUGGGAAUAAGAAAGUGAAUGUACCAUGCAAGAAAGGAUCGGCUAACUUCGUGCCAGCCGCCGCAGUAA